UGUGUCUACGGACAGACACGGGCUCUUACGGACGAAGGCCAAGGACGUCGCGGGAUGCGACUCAUCAGGAUGAUGAACGGGAAUACAGGGAAAAUGGAGAAAAUGUGGGCGGGUAACUCCGCCCCUUUUUUU
rnacentral:sRNA from 1 species